AGUGAACGCUGGCGGUAGGCCUAACACAUGCAAGUCGAACGGCAGCACAGUAAGAGCUUGCUCUUACGGGUGGCGAGUGGCGGACGGGUGAGGAAUACAUCGGAAUCUACUUUUUCGUGGGGGAUAACGUAGGGAAACUUACGCUAAUACCGCAUACGACCUACGGGUGAAAGCAGGGGAACUUCGGACCUUGCGCGAUUGAAUGAGCCGAUGUCGGAUUAGCUGGUUGGCGGGGUAAAGGCCCACCAAGGCGACGAUCCGUAGCUGGUCUGAGAGGAUGGUCAGCCACACUGGAACUGAGACACGGUCCAGACUCCUACGGGAGGCAGCAGUGGGGAAUAUUGGACAAUGGGCGCAAGCCUGAUCCAGCCAUACCGCGUGGGUGAAGAAGGCGUUCGGGUUGUAAAGCCCUUUUGUUGGGAAAGAAAAGCAGCAGGUUAAUACCCCGCUGUUCUGACGGUACCCAAAGAAUAAGCACCGGCUAACUUCGUG
rnacentral:rRNA from 1 species